CAGUCGCCACGGUAAUACGGAGGGAGCUAGCGUUGUUCGGAAUUACUGGGCGUAAAGCGCACGUAGGCGGUUAUUCAAGUCAGAGGUGAAAGCCCGGGGCUCAACCCCGGAACUGCCUUUGAAACUAGAUGACUGGAAUCUUGGAGAGGUCAGUGGAAUUCCGAGUGUAGAGGUGAAAUUCGUAGAUAUUCGGAAGAACACCAGUGGCGAAGGCGACUGACUGGACAAGUAUUGACGCUGAGGUGCGAAAGCGUGGGGAGCAAACAGGAUUAGAUACCCCAGUAGUCCCUGUCUCUUAUAC
rnacentral:rRNA from 1 species